AACAACUUUCAACAACGGAUCUCUUGGCUCUCGCAUCGAUGAAGAACGCAGCGAAAUGCGAUAAGUAAUGUGAAUUGCAGAAUUCAGUGAAUCAUCGAAUCUUUGAACGCACCUUGC
rnacentral:rRNA from 1 species